rnacentral:lncRNA from 1 species
GGCGCGGCGGGGCGGGGCCUGCGGGGGCGGGGCCUGCGGGGCGGGGCCUGCGGGGCGGGGCCUGCGGGGGCGGGGCCACGGGCCCCACCUCCGGGCCGGUUUAAAAGACUGGUGCAGGGGCGGGCGCGGAGCAGAGCGAGCUGCGGCCGUGGCAGCUGCAGGGCUCCCGGCCCCGGAGCAUGCGCAGGAGCCGCCCCGGAGCCCCCCGCCGCCCCGCCCGCGGCGCCCCGCGCCCCGCCGCCAGGAACCUCAGCACCUUCUGUACUCCAGCCCGAGAAGAGAACUGAAAGUAAAAGCCAUCCUGAGCUUUGCCCCAGCCUUCCUGUUCCUCUGCUGGUUUCUUAGAAAUCAGCUGCCUGGGCUUCCAGCUGCCGCCUGGACUUCAUCUCUCACCGAAGAGCCCCCUCACCCUGGUGAGUGCCACACUAACCUCGGCAACAGGGCUGGAGGCCUGUGCCGGGGAGGGGGGCCCCCCCCAGGGAGCGUGGGGGUCAUGCGCUCAGCCCACAAACCUUUAUUCGCGCCUCCAGAGUGCUAGGUGUGGGGGAAGCAGGUGAAUCUGUGUGGCCCAGAGUUAGGAGGAGGGCUUAGGGAGGGGUUCACUGUCCCCCGAGUCGGGUGCCAACAGGUAGGUGGCUGCAGGGUUGGUGGAGGGCACCCGGAGACCAGUAAGUCAUGGGGUCCCUGGAAUCGUGGGGAGGAGGUUGGGAGAUGUGCAAUCAGGGGAGGCUCCCUGGAGGGGCCGCUGUCAGCCGCUUCAAGAGCCAGUGGGAAGGGGUUCACCUGGGCAGCCUUUGUGGGGAAGGGCAUCUGAGGCAUAGGGAACAGAAUAGUCAAAGUGACCUGUGUUAUUCCCCACAAAACAUAUAACUGCCCCCAAAGUACACACGUCUCUCCAUCUUUUGCAGGGGGAGAAACUACGACCUCAAAGAAGUAUGGUGGUUUGAUCUGGCCAGGACUCCCAGCUGGAGUGGAGAUCCAGAAGCAGUCCGCGUGUGCCCAGCCUCUCUCCUGAGCCAGACUCAAGGGGUACCCGGAUCCUCACCAUGUCUGUCUGGGAGCACACCCUCUGCCCCUGGCCCCAGGCUCCCACACACCCCGCUUAAACCCUCCACACCUUAAAGUGGCCUGCCUGGGUCACACAGCCUACUGCGGAGUCAGAGUCAGGAUUCAGGCCCAGGUCUGCGGGGCCUCAAAGGGCCCCCUCCUUCUUCUCCGUGAGGCAUCGGGUACCUUACAGAAAACAGACCUGAGCUGACAGUCUCUGUCCCCACAUUCUAAGGAGGGUGGACGGGACAGCAUGGAAAAAAAUCUUGGUGGCUGGAAAGUAGGGUCCACACUCAGCGCAUUGUGAGCCAGAGCUUUGCUCUCAGGGAACUACCCUGCUGGUUCUCGAUGGUCCCGGAGGGGCUUUCCGUCCCAGCACUGGCCGCAGGUGGAUGUGGACCAGACCUGGCUAAUCAGAGCACCCCAUACCUCAGUUGGUAAGCACACGACCUAAGCUGGAUCAAUCAGAGACCCUUCUGGAACUUUUGGGCUGGAACAAAUAGGAACCCUUUCCUUCUAACCUGGGCCCCCACUCCCACGCCUUCCCACCCCUGACAGUGGUUGUGUCCCAUUAUGUCAACAGAGAUGAAGAGACGGAGCAGGAGCCGGAGCCCUGAUGCCCUGUGUGAGCCCUGGAUCCAGCCAUACCUGAUCUCCACCUCCAGACUUACCUGUUACACAAACCACAGGUUUCCUUUUUUGGCUUAUCCUUGUCACUUAUGACAGUUAUGUUGCUGUCACUUGCAACGCUAAGAGUCAAAACAACCCUCUGGCCUGGAAGAGCGAGGACUAGUUUUGGCAGGAUCUGGGGCCCAUGGUGAUCCCCGCUCUCCCUGGUGUCUGCCCUCCAGGAAAGGUGGGUUGCAGACACUUCCACAUCCCCAGGGUCCACGGGUUUUGUUAAUAACCGACUUUUUUUUUUUAACUUUGGGGAAAAAAAUUCCACGUUUAAAAAAAAAAAAAGUUCCUUCCCAUUUUUUUUUGAACAGACUAUUUUUAGAGCAGUUUUAGGUUCACAUUGAAAUUGAGUGGAAAGCACAGAGUUUCCAUAUACCCACUGCUCCCACCCCACGCACUGCCUCCCCCACUACAACAUCCCACACCAAUCCACGUUCUUUCCUAACUUCCAUGUUUGUUUUUAAAUUUGUAAAGGAAUCUACCAAUCAUGCAUGUAUUAAGUGCCUUGGGUGUAUAUUUUUCUUCUGAUCGCUACAGAUUACAUAUGUUUUUUUUUUUCCUUUAAAAAAGUUUUUAAAAAGGGACAACGUUCUUUAUGACCCAUAUUGGAAACCACUUUUUCCACUUAGCAUCUCAGGUGCCGAGCUCCAGGUCCCCGGCUGACAAGGUCGGGAGGACUGUGCCCAUUUGAACGUGAGGCCGCAGGGAGCGGGGCGGGAGGGGGGCCCAGGAUUGACCUCGGAGGCACAUUUCAUCGGAUGCUCUCCGCUGUCCACUGAGAUUUUUUUUUUCCUUUUUCGAGGAUGAGAAAGCUGCUGUUCAGAGAGGGGAAGUUCCUGUGGUGGGGAGACGCCAGGAGGGGCGCUGGUGGGCAGCCACCAAAGUAGGCUCAGCAGAGACUCCCCAAGCUUUGUCGCAAGAGGCGGGGAGGCUGGUGAUCCUCCAAGGGGUCCUCAGAGGUGACACACAAGUGCUCCGGUCCCUGAGGGACAGUCUUAUCUCACCCCUGCCCCAGUCAAAUUCCUCCUCCUGGGGGCACACCGCUGCCCAGCCCCCCGGGAUCCAUCCGAGGCGGAGACGUUCUGUGUCUCUGGCUCAUUCUCACACUUGGGUACGCACCACGUACGUGGCUGCUGCUGAUGCCGGGCACUGCUGACAGCGUCCCACACGUCGCCUCAGUUCGUCCUUCUCACCACCCU